rnacentral:tRNA from 1 species
GGUUAGUAUAUUGGGUUAACAUGAACGUUGAAGUUGUUGGAAAGGGAGCUGUUUUUUUAACCA